rnacentral:lncRNA from 1 species
GUCUGGCAUGAAAAUUUGAUAAAUUUAAUUCCAAAAGAUUGCAUUGUUCCAACAGUUGUGUUAUUGUCAUCAAUCUCGGUCCAGUCAUUUUUGCCGGUGGCCGAGCACAAAAUUUGUGUUGUGUAUUUUUUUCAUCGAUGUUAGACAUUGGAUGAAUUUCAUUACUAAUGUCAAAAAAGGUGUUACUUUCUGUAAAAUUUAGAAAUAUUUUUUUCUCCGCGAAAUGGUCACACUUUCCGCGUUGAACAUUGAAUAGGACGCGUUGUGUUGCCAUGUUCAAACACUGACAAACGAAAAUAACUACUGCGCAUGCUCCCGCAUAUAUAAUUAGCCAAGAAGAUUCCACUUUCCAGUACAUUCUAAAAAUAAGCCUCGAGUUUAAAAUUAGCGUUGUUUUCUUUUGGGGCGAUAAAAAGAUCGAGGUACUUAGAAUUUUUUAUAUUCUUUCAGAAAAAAACGGUCGUUAGGUAUACAAAUUAUUUUUUUUCCCACAUCAGCUUUAAAAACUUUUGAGUCGGGGGUCUGAAGGACGGUCGGUCGGGUGACCGGAAACACAACAUUUUUUUU